rnacentral:rRNA from 1 species
GACGAACGCUGGCGGCGCGCCUAACACAUGCCCUUCGAACGGGGUGCGUUCGAAUGAAGUUUUCGGAUGGAAUUUGGAUGUACCUAGUGGCGAACGGGUGAGUAACACGUGAAUAACCUGCCCUGGAGUGGGGGGACAACAGUUGGAAACGACUGCUAAUACCGCAUAAGCCCACAGAGCCGCAUGGCUCAGGGGGAAAAGGAGCAAUUCGCUUCAGGAUGGAUUCGCGUCCAAUUAGCUAGAUGGUGAGGUAACGGCCCACCAUGGCGACGAUUGGUAGCCGGACUGAGAGGUUGAUCGGCCACAUUGGGACUGAGACACGGCCCAGACUCCUACGGGAGGCAGCAGUGGGGAAUAUUGCACAAUGGGGGAAACCCUGAUGCAGCGACGCCGCGUGGAGGAAGAAGGUCUUCGGAUUGUAAACUCCUGUCGUUGGGGACGAUAAUGACGGUACCCAACAAGAAAGCCACGGCUAACUACGUGCCAGCAGCCGCGGUAAAACGUAGGUGGCAAGCGUUGUCCGGAAUUACUGGGUGUAAAGGGAGCGCAGGCGGAAGGACAAGUUGGAAGUGAAACCCACGGGCUCAACCCGUGAACUGCUUUCAAAACUGUUUUUCUUGAGUGGUGUAGAGGUAGGCGGAAUUCCCGGUGUAGCGGUGGAAUGCGUAGAUAUCGGGAGGAACACCAGUGGCGAAGGCGGCCUACUGGGCACUAACUGACGCUGAGGCUCGAAAGCAUGGGUAGCAAACAGGAUUAGAUACCCUGGUAGUCCAUGCCGUAAACGAUGAUUACUAGGUGUGGGAGGAUUGACCCCUUCCGUGCCGCAGUUAACACAAUAAGUAAUCCACCUGGGGAGUACGACCGCAAGGUUGAAACUCAAAGGAAUUGACGGGGGCCCGCACAAGCAGUGGAGUAUGUGGUUUAAUUCGAAGCAACGCGAAGAACCUUACCAGGUCUUGACAUCGGAUGCAUAGCUAAGAGAUUAGCGAAGUCCUUCGGGACAUCCAGACAGGUGGUGCAUGGUUGUCGUCAGCUCGUGUCGUGAGAUGUUGGGUUAAGUCCCGCAACGAGCGCAACCCUUACUGUUAGUUACUACGCAAGAGGACUCUAGCAGGACUGCCGUUGACAAAACGGAGGAAGGUGGGGACGACGUCAAAUCAUCAUGCCCUUUAUGACCUGGGCUACACACGUACUACAAUGGCGUUAAACAAAGAGAAGCGAAGCCGCGAGGUGGAGCAAACCUCAAAAACAACGCCCCAGUUCAGACUGCAGGCUGCAACUCGCCUGCACGAAGUCGGAAUUGCUAGUAAUCGCGGAUCAGCAUGCCGCGGUGA